rnacentral:rRNA from 1 species
AAUUCGAUUAGAGUUUGAUCAUGGCUCAGAUUGAACGCUGGCGGCAGGCCUAACACAUGCAAGUCGAACGGUAACAGGAAACAGCUUGCUGUUUCGCUGACGAGUGGCGGACGGGUGAGUAAUGUCUGGGAAACUGCCUGAUGGAGGGGGAUAACUACUGGAAACGGUAGCUAAUACCGCAUAACGUCGCAAGACCAAAGAGGGGGACCCUCGGGCCUCUUGCCAUCGGAUGUGCCCAGAUGGGAUUAGCUUGUUGGUGGGGUAACGGCUCACCAAGGCGACGAUCCCUAGCUGGUCUGAGAGGAUGACCAGCCACACUGGAACUGAGACACGGUCCAGACUCCUACGGGAGGCAGCAGUGGGGAAUAUUGCACAAUGGGCGCAAGCCUGAUGCAGCCAUGCCGCGUGUAUGAAGAAGGCCUUCGGGUUGUAAAGUACUUUCAGCGGGGAGGAAGGGAGUAAAGUUAAUACCUUUGCUCAUUGACGUUACCCGCAGAAGAAGCACCGGCUAACUCCGUGCCAGCAGCCGCGGUAAUACGGAGGGUGCAAGCGUUAAUCGGAAUUACUGGGCGUAAAGCGCACGCAGGCGGUUUGUUAAGUCAGAUGUGAAAUCCCCGGGCUCAACCUGGGAACUGCAUCUGAUACUGGCAAGCUUGAGUCUCGUAGAGGGGGGUAGAAUUCCAGGUGUAGCGGUGAAAUGCGUAGAGAUCUGGAGGAAUACCGGUGGCGAAGGCGGCCCCCUGGACGAAGACUGACGCUCAGGUGCGAAAGCGUGGGGAGCAAACAGGAUUAGAUACCCUGGUAGUCCACGCCGUAAACGAUGUCGACUUGGAGGUUGUGCCCUUGAGGCGUGGCUUCCGGAGCUAACGCGUUAAGUCGACCGCCUGGGGAGUACGGCCGCAAGGUUAAAACUCAAAUGAAUUGACGGGGGCCCGCACAAGCGGUGGAGCAUGUGGUUUAAUUCGAUGCAACGCGAAGAACCUUACCUGGUCUUGACAUCCACGGAAGUUUUCAGAGAUGAGAAUGUGCCUUCGGGAACCGUGAGACAGGUGCUGCAUGGCUGUCGUCAGCUCGUGUUGUGAAAUGUUGGGUUAAGUCCCGCAACGAGCGCAACCCUUAUCCUUUGUUGCCAGCGGUCCGGCCGGGAACUCAAAGGAGACUGCCAGUGAUAAACUGGAGGAAGGUGGGGAUGACGUCAAGUCAUCAUGGCCCUUACGACCAGGGCUACACACGUGCUACAAUGGCGCAUACAAAGAGAAGCGACCUCGCGAGAGCAAGCGGACCUCAUAAAGUGCGUCGUAGUCCGGAUUGGAGUCUGCAACUCGACUCCAUGAAGUCGGAAUCGCUAGUAAUCGUGGAUCAGAAUGCCACGGUGAAUACGUUCCCGGGCCUUGUAGACAC